GGGAUAACUCCGGGAAACCGGGGCUAAUACCGGAUAACAUUUUGAACCGCAUGGUUCGAAAUUGAAAGGCGGCUUCGGCUGUCACUUAUGGAUGGACCCGCGUCGCAUUAGCUAGUUGGUGAGGUAACGGCUCAACAAGGCAACGAUGCGUAGCCAACCUGAGAGGGUGAUCGGCCACUCUGGGACUGAGACACGGCCCAGACUCCUACGGGAGGCAGCAUUAGGGAAUCUUCCGCAAUGGACGAAAGUCUGACGGAGCAACGCCGCGUGAGUGAUGAAGGCUUUCGGGUCGUAAAACUCUGUUGUUAGGGAAGAACAAGUGCUAGUUGAAUAAGCUGGCACCUUGACGGUACCUAACCAGAAAGCCACGGCUAACUACGUGCCAGCAGCCGCGGUAAUACGUAUGUGGCAAGCGUUAUCCGGAAUUAUUGCGCGUAA
rnacentral:rRNA from 1 species